rnacentral:rRNA from 1 species
GACGAACGCUGGCGGCGUGCUUAACACAUGCAAGUCGAACGGUGAAGCUCCAGCUUGCUGGAGUGGAUCAGUGGCGAACGGGUGAGUAACACGUGAGCAACCUGCCCCUGACUCUGGAAUAAGCGCUGGAAACGGCGUCUAAUACUGGAUACGAGAAGGGUCCGCAUGGGCACUUUCUGGAAAGUUUUUCGGUUGGGGAUGGGCUCGCGGCCUAUCAGCUUGUUGGUGAGGUAAUGGCUCACCAAGGCGACGACGGGUAGCCGGCCUGAGAGGGCGACCGGCCACACUGGGACUGAGACACGGCCCAGACUCCUACGGGAGGCAGGAGUGGGGAAUAUUGCACAAUGGGCGAAAGCCUGAUGCAGCGACGCCGCGUGAGGGAUGACGGCCUUCGGGUUGUAAACCUCUUUCAGCAGGGAAGAAGCGAAAGGGACGGUACCUGCAGAAGAAGCACCGGCUAACUACGG